ensembl:lncRNA
CUUGACAUGCCUGCAAUCAGGGAGUGGUGGUGUCUACGUCUAAUUGAGCGGUUUGAGACAGAGGGGCAUGGGAAAAGGUUCGCCCACUGGACAGAGGAGGCAAGAUGCCUGACUGAAGGGACAUUACGACCACUUUACAGGAGUUUUCCAGGACUAACACAUGACCUACCACAACAUGUUGUUGCCAGUAGGAACCGAAAGUUAUCCAACCAGGCUCUGGUGGACUUCAUUGUGGCAAGAGGAACCGAUAACCACAUUCAGGUACAUGCAUCAAGAAUGCAUUUUUUAANCAUGUUACUCCUCUCCUCAUCAGGUUACACUGGCUACCAGUAGCCGCUCGCAUCAAAUUCAAGGUACUGAUGCUUGCCUACAAAACGACCACUGGCACGGCGCCAACUUACCUAAACUCACUAGUUCAAUCUUAUGCACCCUCCAGAAGUUUGCGCUCUGCAAGUGAACGACGCCUUGUGUUGCCAUCCCAAAGAGGUUCAAAAUCACUCUCACAGACUUUUUCCUGGACUGCUCCCAGUUGGUGGAAUGACCUCCCGAUCUCAAUUCGAACAGCUGAGUCUUUACUCAUUUUCAAAAAACAUCUAAAGACUCAUCUUUUUCGCCUGCACUUAACCAACUAAUACUAGUACUUACCUUUUUUUCUUUUUCUUUUCUAUCAUAUUCCAAAAAAAAAAAAAACCCUGGCUAUGUGUUCUGUACUAGACUAACUGAGACUUGUCAUAGCACUUGUAUACCGUUGUUGUUUUCUCGUUGAUCUGAUUGUUUCUACUGUUCUCAUUUGUAAGUCGCUUUGGAUAAAAUCGUCUGCUAAAUGAUUAAAUGUAAAUGUAAUGUAAAUGUGUCACGGACCCGUGGACCCCAGAUUGAAAACCCCUGCAAUAGGGGAUGCAGUGUGCUAUGUGAGUUCCAUAGAAGGGGAUUUUUUUUUUUUUAAUCAUAUAAAGCAUAUUUGCUCUAUGGAAACUCUAAAUGGACAUAAGGUUGCAUUUAAAAAUGUCCUUUUAAUUAGCCGUGACUGUAACAACAGAGACAGGCAGGCAGGCAAAUGAGGGGGCUGGGAAGGGAAUCCAAGUGCAGCUUCAUUUAAUACAAUAAACCACAAGGUGAAAUGAACACAAACAAAGGUACAUGGAGAAGGAGGAAACACAAGAUAAUCCAGAGUGCAUACAAACAUACAUACAAUGACUGACAAACAAACUAGAGACAAGCAGGGCUAUAAAUGCUGAGCCGAACCAAUGAACAAAUGAGACAAGGAGAUGGGUGUGUUCAAAUGAGUGUCCAUGGCAACAAACAAGGGAACAAAGCAGCAGAGAAUCACAAGUUAAACAAAGCAACAAUGAAAACACAGAACUACAAAAUAAGAGUCCACGUCCACAGACACCGGAAUCACAGGCAGGAAUCAUGACAGUGACACUCUUCUGGUUUAAGUCCCACCCAUACACAAUUCUAUUUGAUACAGCAAAAGAUAAUUUUGGAUUUGCUACACCCAUUCUACAGAUUCAACAUUUUCAAGAUACAGUGAGCAGAACAACUGGUCAAUUUAUCCAUUCAUGUAACCUUGAGUUAGAGCUAAGAAUAGGAAAUGAAGAAUAUUUGAAACUUUAGACUCAUUUGAAAGCCACAAAAAAAAAAAAAAAAAAAAAAAAAAAAAAAAUUAUGGCUUACUUUAUCUUUCACAGCUUUACCUUACUAUGAAUUUGAAAACAAAAAAGUGCUUUGAUUAGUAAACACUGCUUGGCUGACCAAGCUUCUGGUUUAUUUAGAGGGGAAAUAACACACAGUUUCUGCCAAACUCAUGUUAAUCUUAAGUACAUAUAGAGUAUUAGUGCAUCCUUCAUAACUCCCAAGAGUCUUUAGUUUGAUCAGGGCCCUUUUAAAGAUUCUAAGAAUCCUCUCAGAGAGCUCCUAGUUUAGCUUAAACAUUUCUAAUUAGGAGUCUUAUCUUAAAAUUGAUUCAUG